AAGUCGUAACAAGGUUUCCGUAGGUGAACCUGCGGAAGGAUCAUUACCAAUGCCUAAAUCCUUGCGGGUCCCAUUCGUGGGACUUGGCAAGGUAGUACCUAGGUACUGCCUGGUGUGCAACUGAUUCCAGUGGGCAACCACCACACUUGUCCAAUCUUAGCUUCUAGUGAGCUUGACUUGGCCUAGCGAUAGGUCAAACCCAUGGGUAUAUACAACUUUCAGCAAUGGAUCUCUAGGCUCUC
rnacentral:misc_RNA from 1 species